AAAUUGAAGGGUUUGAUCAUGGCUCAGAUUGAACGCUGGCGGCAGGCCUAACACAUGCAAGUCGAACGGUAACAGGAAGAAGCUUGCUUCUUUGCUGACGAGUGGCGGACGGGUGAGUAAUGUCUGGGAAACUGCCUGAUGGAGGGGGAUAACUACUGGAAACGGUAGCUAAUACCGCAUAACGUCGCAAGACCAAAGAGGGGGACCUUCGGGCCUCUUGCCAUCGGAUGUGCCCAGAUGGGAUUAGCUUGUUGGUGGGGUAACGGCUCACCAAGGCGACGAUCCCUAGCUGGUCUGAGAGGAUGACCAGCCACACUGGAACUGAGACACGGUCCAGACUCCUACGGGAGGCAGCAGUGGGGAAUAUUGCACAAUGGGCGCAAGCCUGAUGCAGCCAUGCCGCGUGUAUGAAGAAGGCCUUCGGGUUGUAAAGUACUUUCAGCGGGGAGGAAGGGAGUAAAGUUAAUACCUUUGCUCAUUGACGUUACCCGCAGAAGAAGCACCGGCUAACUCCGUGCCAGCAGCCGCGGUAAUACGGAGGGUGCAAGCGUUAAUCGGAAUUACUGGGCGUAAAGCGCACGCAGGCGGUUUGUUAAGUCAGAUGUGAAAUCCCCGGGCUCAACCUGGGAACUGCAUCUGAUACUGGCAAGCUUGAGUCUCGUAGAGGGGGGUAGAAUUCCAGGUGUAGCGGUGAAAUGCGUAGAGAUCUGGAGGAAUACCGGUGGCGAAGGCGGCCCCCUGGACGAAGACUGACGCUCAGGUGCGAAAGCGUGGGGAGCAAACAGGAUUAGAUACCCUGGUAGUCCACGCCGUAAACGAUGUCGACUUGGAGGUUGUGCCCUUGAGGCGUGGCUUCCGGAGCUAACGCGUUAAGUCGACCGCCUGGGGAGUACGGCCGCAAGGUUAAAACUCAAAUGAAUUGACGGGGGCCCGCACAAGCGGUGGAGCAUGUGGUUUAAUUCGAUGCAACGCGAAGAACCUUACCUGGUCUUGACAUCCACAGAACUUUCCAGAGAUGGAUUGGUGCCUUCGGGAACUGUGAGACAGGUGCUGCAUGGCUGUCGUCAGCUCGUGUUGUGAAAUGUUGGGUUAAGUCCCGCAACGAGCGCAACCCUUAUCCUUUGUUGCCAGCGGUCCGGCCGGGAACUCAAAGGAGACUGCCAGUGAUAAACUGGAGGAAGGUGGGGAUGACGUCAAGUCAUCAUGGCCCUUACGACCAGGGCUACACACGUGCUACAAUGGCGCAUACAAAGAGAAGCGACCUCGCGAGAGCAAGCGGACCUCAUAAAGUGCGUCGUAGUCCGGAUUGGAGUCUGCAACUCGACUCCAUGAAGUCGGAAUCGCUAGUAAUCGUGGAUCAGAAUGCCACGGUGAAUACGUUCCCGGGCCUUGUACACACCGCCCGUCACACCAUGGGAGUGGGUUGCAAAAGAAGUAGGUAGCUUAACCUUCGGGAGGGCGCUUACCACUUUGUGAUUCAUGACUGGGGUGAAGUCGUAACAAGGUAACCGUAGGGGAACCUGCGGUUGGAUCACCUCCUUACCUUAAAGAAGC
rnacentral:rRNA from 1 species